rnacentral:tRNA from 1 species
GCCCGGGUGCUGGAACGGUAGACAGGGGGCCCUUAAAAGGUUGCUGUCCGUAAGCGGACGUGCGGGUUCGAAUCCCGCCCCGGGCA